GAAUAAGCGUCGGCUAACUACGGUGCCAAGCAGCCGCGGUAAGACGUAGGACGCAAGCGUUAUCCGGAUUUACUGGGCGUAAAGCGUCUGUAGACGGUUCGAUAAGUUGGGCGUGAAAGCUCCGGGCUUAACCCGGAGAGGUCGUUCAAUACUGUCGAACUAGAGGACAUCAGAGGAGCAUGGAAUUUCCGGUGUAGCGGUAAAAUGCGCAGAUAUCGGAAGGAACACCAGUGGCGAAGGCGGUGCUCUGGGGUGGGCCUGACGCUGAGAGACGAAAGCUAGGGGAGCGAACAGGAUUAGAGACCCUGGUAGUCCUAGCCCUAAACGAUGGAUGCUAGGUGUGGGGCCGAGAAGGCUCUGUGCCGCAGUUAACGCGCUAAGCAUCCCGCCUGGGGAUUACGGCCGCAAGGCUAAAACUCAAACGAAUUGACGGGGCCCCGCACAAGCAGCGGAGCGUGUGGUUUAAUUCGAUGCUACACGAAGAACCUUACCUGGGUUUGACAUGUACGUGGUAGAGAAGCGAAAGCGGAUCGACCCUUCGGGGAGCGUACACAGGUGCUGCAUGGCUGUCGUCAGCUCGUGCCGUGAGGUGUCGGGUUAAGUCCCGUAACGAGCGCAACCCUUGCCCUUAGUUACAAGUGUCUAAGGGGACUGCCGGCGGUAAGCCGGAGGAAGGUGGGGAUGACGUCAAGUCAGCAUGGCCCUUAUAUCCAGGGCUACACACACGCUACAAUGGUCAGUACAAAGGGCAGCGAAGCCGCGAGGUGAAGCGAAUCCCAACAAAGCUGAUCUAAGUUCGGAUUGCAGGCUGCAACUCGCCUGCAUGAAGCUGGAGUUGCUAGUAACCGCGCGUCAGCUAUAGUGCGCGUGAAUACGUUCCCGGGGCUUGUACACACCGCCCGUCACGUCAUGGGAGUCGGUAACGCCUGAAGCUGGUAGUCUGGCCCGCAAGGGGGACGCCAUCAAAGGCGGGGCUGGCAAC
rnacentral:rRNA from 1 species